rnacentral:rRNA from 1 species
UACGUAGGCAGCAAGCGUUGUUCGGAGUUACUGGGCGUAAAGAGUGCGUAGGUGGUGCCCUAAGUCUGUUGUGAAAUCUCCCGGCUUAACUGGGAGGGUGCGGUGGAAACUGGAGUGCUUGAGUGUGGGAGAGGUAAGCGGAAUUCCUGGUGUAGCGGUGAAAUGCGUAGAUAUCAGGAGGAACACCGGUGGUGUAGACGGCUUACUGGACCACGACUGACACUGAGGCACGAAAGCGUGGGUAGCAAACAGG